rnacentral:snRNA from 15 species
CGAUUUCUUAUAAUACUUCAGGGCCUUACUAAAGACCCAGUGUACAAUUUUUGCAGCCCUGUCUUCUGAGGCAGGGG